rnacentral:lncRNA from 1 species
UCAGUCCAUGUGUUAGUAGUGUAUGUGUGUGGUGUGUGUGUUUGACAUGUGUAGUGUAGUGUAUGUGUGUGGUGUGUGUGUGCAGUGUGUUUGUGAAUUGUAUGUAUGCGGUGUGUGUGUGCGGUGCAGUGUGUGGGGGGGUGUUUUUGUAGAAUACGUGUGUGCAGUGCAGGUUUUUGUAGUGUACGUGUGUAGUGUUUGUGUUUGGUGUGUGUGUGUGGUGUGUUUGUGUUUGCUGGAUGUGUGUUGUAUAUGUGUGUGGUGUGUGUGUGCAGUGUGUGUGUGCGGUGAGUGUAGUGUAGUGUAUUUGUGUGUAGUGUCGCGGUGUAUGAAUUUGUAGUGUAUGUGUGUGUUGUUUGGUUUGGGAAGUUUGUGUUUACUGUAUGUGUGUGGUGUGUGUGUAGUGUAUGUUUGUUGCGUAUGUUUGUGGUGUAUGUGUGCGGUGUGUGUGUGUGAGGUAAGCGUGUUUGUAUUGUGUCUGUGCAGUCGAUGUGUUAGUAAUUUAUGUGUGUGGUGUGUGUGUUUGAAGUGUGUAGUAUAGUGUAUGUGUGUGGUGUGUGUGUGCAGUGUGCUUGUGUAUUGUAUGUAUGCGGUGUGUGUGUGCAGUGUAUGUGUUUGUAGUGUAUGUUUGUUGUGUAUGUGUACAGUGUGUUGUGUGUAUUUGGUGAGUUUGUGUUUCCUGUUUCUGUGGUGUAUUUUGUAGUGUAUGUUUGUUUUGUAUGUGUGCAGUGUGCAGAGUGUUUGUGUGCGUUUUGUGCGUGUUUUUAUUGUAUGUGUGCAGUCCAUGUGAUGGUAUUGUUUGUGUGUGGUGUAUGUGUUUGACGUGUGUAGUGCAGUGUAUGUGUAUGGUGUGUGUGUGCAGUGUUUCUAUAUUGUAUGUAAGCAGUGGGUAUGUGCGUUGUGUGUGUGCGGUGAGUGUGUGCCAUGUGUGUUUUUAGUGUGUGUGGGUGCGGUGUAGGUUUUUGUAGAGUAUUGUGUAGUGUGUGUGUGUGUAGUGUAUGUCUAUAGUGUAUGUUUGUGGUGUAUUUGUGUGGUGUGUGUGUGUUUUGUGAAUGUAUGCGGUGUGUGUGUAUUUGCGGUGUGUGUGUUUGUAUUGUGUGUGUGCUGACCAUGUAUUAGUAGUGUAGGUGUGUGGUGUGUGUGUUUGACAUGUGCAGUGUAGUGUAUUUGCGUGGUGUGUGUGUGUGCAGUUGUUUCUGAAUUGUAUGUAUGCGGUGUUUGUGACCGGUGUGUGUGUGCAGUGUGUGUCUGAGGGGUGUGUUUGUAGCAUGUUUGUGCGCUGUAGGUUUUUGUAUUGUAUGUGUGUAGUGUGUGUGUUUGGUGUGUUUGUGUUUGCUGGAUGUGUGUAGUAUAUGUGUGUGGUGUGUGUGUGCAGUGUGUGUGUGCGGUGUGUGUAGUGUAGUGUAUGUGUGUGGUGUGUGUGCCGUGUAUGUGUUUGUAGUGUAUGUGUGUUUUGUUUGCGUUUGGUGAGUUUGUGUUUACUGUAUGUGUGUGAUGUGUGUGUAGUGUAUGCUUGUUGUGUAUGUUUGUUGUGUAUGUGUGCGGUGUGUGUGUGUUUUGUAUGUAUGCGGUGUGUGUGUGAGGUAUGCGUGUUUGUAUUGUGUCUGUGCAGUCCAUGUGUUAGUAGUGUAUGCUUGUGUUGUGUGUGUUUCACAUGUGUACUCUAUUGUAUGUAUGUGCUGUGUGUGCAUUGUGAUUGUGAAUUGUAUGUAUGCGGUGUGUCAGUGCGGUGCAGUGUGUGUGGGGUGUGUGUGUUUGUAGUAUAUGUGUGUGCGGUGUAGGUUUUUGUAGUGUAUGUGUGUAGUGUGUGUGUUUGGUGUGUUUGUGGUUACUGUAUGUGUGUGGUGUGUGUGUUUGGUUAGUUUGUGUUUACUGUAUGUGUGUGUAGUGUAUUUUUGUAGUGUAUGUUUGUUGUGUAUGUGUGCAGUGUGUGUGUGUAAUGUAUGUAUGUGGAGUGUUUGUGUGCGUUGUGCGUGUUUGUAUUGUAUUUGUGCAGUCAUGGGAUGGUAUUGUAUAUGUGGGGUGUGUGUGUUUGACGUGUCUCGUGUAGUGUAUAUGUAUGGUGUGUGUGUGCAGUGUGUUUCUGUAUUGUAUGUAUGCGGUGUGUAUGUGCGGUGUGUGUGUGCGGUGUGUGUUUGCGAUGUGUGUUUUUAGUGUGUGUUUGUGUGUGCGGUGUAGGUUUUUGUAAAGUAUGUGUGUAGUGUGUGUGUGUAGUGUAUGUUAGUGUGUAUUUGUGCGGUAUGUGUGUGAAGUGUGUUUUAGAAUUGUAUGUAUGCGGUGUGUGUGAGCAGUGUGUGUUUGCCUUGUGUUGGGUGUGUGUGUGUUUGUAGUAUGUGUGUGUGUGGUGUAGGUUUUUGAAGUGUAUGUGUGUAGUAUGUGUGUUUGAUGUGUGUAGUGUAGUGUAUGUGUAUGGUGUGUUUGCAGAGUGUUUCUGUAUUGUAUUAUGCGGUGUGUGUGUGCGGUGUGUGUGUGCGGUGUGUGUGUGCGGUGUGUGUGUGCGGUGUGUGUUUUUAAUGUGUGUGUUUGCGGUGUAGGUUUUUUUAGAGUAUGUGAGUAGUGUGUUUGUUUAGUGUGUGUGUAGUGUAUGUUUGUGGUGUAUUUACUCAGUGUGUGUGUGCAGUGCAUUUGUGAAUUGUAUGUAUGCGGUGUGUGUGAGCGGUGUGUGUGAAGUGUGUGUGUGCGGUGUGUGUUUGUAGUAUGUGUGUGCGGUGUAGGUUUUUGUUGUCUAUGUGUGUAGUGUGUGUGUUUGGUGUGUUUGUGUUUGCUGGUUGUGUGUGUUGGGUAUGUGUGUGGUGUGUGUGUGCAGAUGUGUGCAGUGUGUAUAGUGUAGUGUAUUGUGUGGUGUGUGUGCGGUGUAUGUGUUUGUAGAGUAUGUGUGUGUUGUUUGUGUUUGGUGAGUUUGUGUUUACUGUAGGUGUGGUGUUUGUGUAGUGUAUGUUUGAUGUGUAUGUUUGUGGUGUAUCUGUGCCGUGUGAGUGUGUGUUCUGUGUAUGUAUGUGUUUGAGUGUGUGAGGUAUGCUUGCUUGUAUUGUGUCUGUGCAGUCCAUGUGUUAAUAGUGUAUGUGUGUGGUGUGUGUGUAUGAUGUAUGUAGUAUAGUGUAUGUGUGUGGUGUGUGUGUGCAGUGUGCUUUUGUAUUGUAUGUAUGCGGUGUUUGUGUGCAGUGUGUGUGCGGUGUGUUUGAUUGUAGUAUGUGUGUGUACGGUAUGUGUGUGUUGUGUUUGUUUGGUGUGUUUGUAUUUACUGUAUGUGUGUGGUGUGUGUGUGGUGUAUGUGUUGGGUGUAUUGUGCAGUGUGUUUGUGGAGUGAAUGUAUGCGGUGUGUGGGUGCGGUAUGUGUGUGCGGUGUGGAUGUUUGUAGUGUGUCUGUGCGGUGUAUAUUUUAUAAUGUAUAUGUGAGGUGUGUGUUUGGUGUGUUUGUCUUUACUGUAUGUGUGUUGUGUGUGUGUGGUGUGUUUAAUAUAGAGUAUGUGUGUGGUCUCUGUGUGUAGUCUAUGUGUGCAGUGCGUUUCUGUAGUUUAUGUAUGCUGUGUGUGUGUGCGGUAAGUGUGUGCGGUGUGUAUGUUCGUCGUGUGUUGUGCUUUGUAUAUGUGUAUAGUGUAUGCGUUAUGUGUGUGUGCGAUGUGCGUGUUUGUAUUGUGUGUGCAUUCCAUGUGAUGGUAGUGUAUGUGUGUGGUGUUUGCGUUUGACGUGUGUAGUGUAGUGUAUGUGUGUGGUGUGUGUGCCGUGUAUGUGUUUGUAGUGUAUGUGUGUGUUGUUUGCGUUUGGUGAGUUUGUGUUUACUGUAUGUGUGUGAUGUGUGUGUAGUGUAUGCUUGUUGUGUAUGUUUGUUGUGUAUGUGUGCGGUGUGUGUGUGUUUUGUAUGUAUGCGGUGUGUGUGUGAGGUAUGCGUGUUUGUAUUGUGUCUGUGCAGUCCAUGUGUUAGUAGAGUAUGCUUGUGUUGUGUGUGUUUCACAUGUGUACUGUAGUGUAUGUAUGUGCUGUGUGUGCAUUGUGAUUGUGAAUUGUAUGUAUGCGGUGUGUCAGUGCGGUGCAGUGUGUGUGGGGUGUGUGUGUUUGUAGUAUAUAUGUGUGCGGUGUAGGUUUUUGUAGUGUAUGUGUGUAGUGUGUGUGUUUGGUGUGUUUGUGGUUACUGUAUGUGUGUGGUGUGUGUUUGGUUAGUUUGUGUUUACUGUAUGUGUGUGUAGUGUAUUUUUGUAGUGUAUGUUUGUUGUUUAUGUGUGCAGUGUGUGUGUGUAAUGUAUGUAUGCGGAGUGUUUGUGUGCGUUGUGCGUGUUUGUAUUGUAUUUGUGCAGUCAUGUGAUGGUAUUGUAUAUGUGGGCUGUGUGUGUUUGACGUGUCUCGUGUAGUGUAUAUGUAUGGUGUGUGUGUGCAGUGUGUUUCUGUAUUGUAUGUAUGCGGCGUGUAUGUGCGGUGUGUGUGUGUGGUGUGUGUUUGCGAUGUGUGUUUUUAGUGUGUGUGUGUGUGCGGUGUAGGUUUUUGUUGUGUAUGUGUGUAGUGUGUGUGUUUGGUGUGUUUGUGUUUGCUGGAUGUGUGUGUUGUGUAUGUGUGUGGUGUGUGUGUGCAGUGUGUGUGUGCGGUGUGUGUAGUGUAGUGUAUGUGUGUGGUGUGUGUGCCGUGUAUGUGUUUGUAGUGUAUGUGUGUGUUGUUUGCGUUUGGUGAGUUUGUGUUUACUGUAUGUGUGUGAUGUGUGUGUAGUGUAUGCUUGUUGUGUAUGUUUGUUUUGUAUGUGUGUGGUGUGUGUGUGUAGUGUAUGUCAGUGUGUAUUUGUGCGGUGUGUGUGUGAAGUGUGUUUUAGAAUUGUAUGUAUGCGGUGUGUGUGAGCGGUGUGUGUGUGCCUUGUGUUGGGGGUGUGUGUGUUUGUAGUAUGUGUGUGUGUGGUGUAGGUUUUUGAAGUGUAUGUGUGUAGUGUGUGUGUUUGACGAGUGUAGUGUACUGUAUGUGUAUGGUGUGUGUGCAGAGUGUUUCUGUAUUGUAUUAUGCGGUGUGUGUGUGCGGUGUGUGUGUGCGGUGUGUGUUUUUAAUGUGUGUGUUUGCGGUGUAGGUUUUUGUAGAGUAUGUGAGUAGUGUGUUUGUUUAAUGUGUGUGUAGUGUAUGUUUUUGGUGUAUUUAUUCGGUGUGUGUGUGCAGUGCAUUUGUGAAUUGUAUGUAUGCGGUGUGUGUGAGCGGUGUGUGUGAAGUGUGUGUGUGUGGUGUGUAUGUUUGUAGUGUGUUGUGCGUUGUAUAUGUGUAUAAUGUAUGUGUGUUGUUGGUGUGUGUAGUGUAUGUAUGCGUUAAGUGUGUGUGCGAUGUGCGUGUUUGUAUUGUGUGUGCAUUCCAUGUGAUGGUAGUGUAUGUGUGUGGUGUUUGCGUUUGACGUGUUUAGUGUAGUGUAUGUGUGUGGUGUGUGUUUGCAACGUGUUUCUGUAUUGUAUGUAUGCAGUGUCUGUGUGCGUUGUUUGUGUGCGGUGUUUGUGUUUGUAGUGUGUGUGUUUGCGGUGUAGGUUUUUGGAGUGUAUGUGUGUAGUGAGUGUGUUUGGUGUGUUUUUUGAUGUAUGUUUGUGCAGUGUGAGAAGUGUAAGUUUAUGAAGCAUGCGUUGUGUGUGUGUUUGCUUGUGUGCGGUGUGUGUGUGUAGUGCAUGUGUGAGGUGUAUGUUUGCAGUGUGUUUGUUUAGUCAAUGUAUGCGGUGUGUGUGUGGCGGGAGUCUGUUUGCGGUGUGUAUAUUUGUACUGUGUGUUUGCGAUUUCGAUGUUUAUAAAGUAAGUGUGUGGUGUGUGUGUUUGGUGUGUUUGGGUUUAUUGUAUGUGUGAGGUGUGUGUGUGUGCUGUGUUUUUGCGGUGUAUGUGUUUAUUGUUGUAUGUGUGUGGUGUGUUAUUUGGUAUGUGUGUGUGUGUUGUGUGUGUUUGGUGUGUGUAGUGUAAUGUAUGUGUGUGGUGUGUGUGGUGUUUGUGUUUGUAGUGUAUAUGUGUGUUGUGUGUGUUUGGUGAGUUUGAUUUUACUCUAUGUUUGUGAGUAGUGUCUUUUUGUAGUGUAUGUUUGUGGUGUAUGUGUGCGGAGUAUGUUUGUUGUUGUAUGUGUGUGGUGUGUUAUUUGUUAUGUGUGUGUAGCGUGUGAGUUCUGUGUGUGUUUGGUGUGUGUAGUGUAAUGUAUGUGUGUGGUGUGUGUGUGCAGUGUGUGUGUUUGUAAUGUAUGUAUGUUUGUUGUGUAUGUGUACAGUGUGUUGUGUGUGUUUGGUGAGAUUGGGUUUCCUGUUUGUGUGGUGUAUUUUGUAGUGUAUGUUUGUUUUGUAUGUGUGCAGUGUGCGGAGUGUUUGUGUGCGUUUUGUGCGUGUUUGUAUUGUAUGUGUGCAGUCCAUGUGAUGGUAUUGUAUGUGUGUGGUGUAUGUGUUUGUCAUGUGUAGUGUCGUGUAUGUGUAUGGUGUGUGUGUGCAAUGUGUUUCUGUAUUGUAUGUAAGCCUUGUGUAUGUGCGGUGUGUGUGUGCGUUGUGUGUUUUUAGUGUGUGUGGGUGCGGUGUAGGUUUUUGUAGAGUAUUGUGUAGUGUGUGUGUGUAGUGUAUGUUUUUAGUGUAUGUUUGUGGUGUAUUUGUGCGGUGUGUGUGUGAGGUAUGCGUGUUUGUAUUGUGUCUGUGCAGUCCAUGUGUUAGUUGUGUAUGUUUGUUGUGUAUGUGUUUGACAUGUGUACUGUAGUGUAUGUGUGUGCUGUGUGUGUGCAUUGUGAGUGUGAAUUGUAUGCAUGCGGUGUGUCUGUGCGGUGCAGUGUGUCUGGGGUGUGUGUGUUUGUAGUAUAUGUGUGUGCGGUGUAGGUUUUUGUAGUGUAUGUGUGUAGUGUGUGUGUUUGGUGUGUUCGUGGUUACUGUAUGUGUGUGGCGUGUGUGUUUGGUGUGUUUGUGUUUGCUGGAUGUAUGUGGUGUAUGUGUGGUGUGUGUGUGCAGUGUGUGUGUGCGGUGUGUAUAGUGUGGUGUAUGUGUGUGGUGUGUGUGCGGUGUAUGUGUUUGCAGUGUAUGUGUGUGUUGUUUGUGUUUGGUGAGUUUGUGUUUAUCGUAUGUGUGUGGUAUUUGUCUAGUGUAUGUUUGUUGUGUAUGUUUGUGGUGUAUGUGUGUGGUGUGUGUGUAUGACGUGUGUAAUAUAGUAUAUGUGUGUGGUGUGUGUGCAGUGUGUGUGCGGUGUGUGUGAUUGUAGUAUGUGUGUGCACUGUUUAUGUGUUUGUACUGUAUGUGUGUUUUGUGUUUGUUUGGUGUGUUUGUUUUUACUGUAUGUGUGUGGUGUGUGUGUGGUGUGUGUGGGGGGUGUAUGUGUGCAGUGUGUUUGUGGAGUGAAUGUAUGCGUUGUGGGUGUGUGGUAUGUGUGGGCGGUGUAGAUGUUUGUAGUGUGCGUGUGCGGUGUAUGUGUUUAUAGUGUAUGUGUGUGGUGUGUGUUUGGUGUGUUUGUGGGUGUGUUGUGUGUGUGUGUGUGUGGUGUGUGUUUGGUGGGUUUGUCUCUAUGUGUGCUGUGUGUGUGUGUGGUGUGUGUGUUUGGUGUGUGUAAUAUAGUGUAUGUGUGUGGUGUGUAUGUGUGUAGUGUGUGUGGUGUAUGUGUGCAGUGCGUUUGUGUAGUUUCUGUAUGCUGUGUGUGUGUGAGGCUUGUGUGUGCAGUGUGUAUGUUUGUAGUGUGUUGUGCGUUGUAUAUGUGUAGUGUAUGUGUGUUGUGUGUGUGUAGUGGAUGUAUGCGUUAAGUGUGUGUGCGAUGUGCGUGUUUGUAUUUUGUGUGUGCAUUCCAUGUGAUGGUAGUGUAUGUGUGUGGUGUGUGUGUGCAACGUGUUUCUGUAUUGUAUGUAUUCAGUGUGUGUGUGCGUUGUUUGUGUGCGGUGUCUGGGUUUGUAGUGUGUGUGUUUGCGGUGUAGCUUUUUGUAGUGUAUGUGUGUAGUGCGUGUGUUUGGUGUGGUUUUUUAUGUAUGUUUGUGCUGUGUGAGAAGUGUAAGUUUAUAAAGCAUGCGUUGUGUGUGUGCUUUUCUUGCGUGCGAAGACACAGUAGUGCAUGUGUGAGGUGUAUGUGUGCAGUGUGUGUGUAGUCAAUGUAUGCGGUGUGUGUGUGGUUAUCUGUUUGCGGUGUGUAUAUUUGUACUGUGUGUGUGCGAUUUCGAUGUUUAUACUGUGUGUGGUGUGUGUGGUGUGUUUGGUUUUAUAGUAUGUGUGAGGUGUGUAUGUGUGCUGUGUUUUUGCGGUGUAUGUGAUUGUUUUUGUAUGUGUGUUGUGUGUUAUUUGGUAUGUGUGUGUAAUAUGUGUGUGUUGUGUUUGUUUGGUGCGUGUAGUGUAAUGUAUGUGUGUGGUGUGUGUGGUGUAUGUGUUUGUAGUGUAUAUGUGUGUUGUGUGUGUUUGGUGAGUUUGAGUUUACUCUAUGUGUGUGAGGAGUGUCUUUUUGUAGUGUAUGUUUGUGGUGUAUGUGUGAGGUGUAUGUGUUUGUUGUAUGUGUGUGGUGUGUUAUUUGUUAUGUUGUGUAGCGUGUGUGUUUUGUGUGUGUUUGGUGUGUAUAGUGUAAUGUAUGUGUGUGUUGUGUGUAUGCAGUGUGUGUGUUUGUAGUGUAUGUUUGUUGUGUAUGUGUACAGUGUGUUGUGUGUGUUUGGUGAGUUUGUGUUUCCUGUUAGUGUGGUGUAUUUUGUAGUGUAUGUUUGUUUUGUAUGUAUGCAGUGUGCGGAGUGUUUCUGUGCGUUUUGUGCGCGUUUUAUUGUAUGUGUGCAGUCCAUGUGAUGGUAUUGUAUGUGUGUGGUGUAUGUGUUUGACGUGUGUAGUGUAGUGUGUGUAUGGUGUGUGUGUGCAAUAUGUUUCUGUAUUGUAUGUAAGUGGUGUGUAUGUGCGGUGUGUGUGUGCGGUGUGUGGUUUUAGUGUGUGGGUGCGGGGUAGGUUUUUGUAGAGUAUUGUGUAGUGUGUGUGUGUAGUGUAUGUUUGUAGUGUAUGUUUGUGGUGUAUUUGUGCGGUGUGUGUGUUUUGUGUAUGUAUGCGGUGUGUGUGUAUUUGCGGUGUGUGUGUUUGUAUUGUGUGUGUGCAGACCAUGUAUUAGUAGUGUAGGUGUGUGGUGUGUGUGUUUGACAUGUGUAGUGUAGUGUAUUUGCGUGGUGUGUGUGUGCAGUUGUUUCUGAAUUGUAUGUAUGCGGUGUUUGUGAGCGGUGUGUGUGUGCAGUGUGUGUCUGCGGGGUGUGUUUGUAGCAUGUUUUUGCGCUGUAGGUUUUUGUAGUGUAUGUGUGUAGUGUGUGUGUUUGGUGUGUUUGUGUUUGCUGGAUGUGUGUAGUGUAUGUGUGUGGUGUUUGUGUGCAGUGUGUAUGUGAGGUGUGUGUAGUGUAGUGUAUGUGUGUGGUGUGUGUGCCGUGUAUGUGUUUGUAGUGGAUGUGUGUGUUGUUUGUGUUUGGUGAGUUUGUGUUUACUGUAUGUGUGUGAUGUGUGUGUAGUGUAUGCUUGUUGUGUAUGUUUGUUGUGUAUGUGUGCGGUGUGUGUGAGGUAUGCGUGUUUGUAUUGUAUCUGCGCAGUCCAUGUGUUAGUAGUGUAUGCUUGUGGUGUGUGUGUUUGACAUGUGUCUGUAGUGUAUGUGUGUGCUGUGUGUGCAUUGUGAUUGUGAAUUGUAUGUAUGCGGUGUGUCUGUGCGGUGCAGUGUGUGUGGGAUGUGUGUUUGUAGUAUAUAUGUGUGCGGUGUAGGUUUUUGUAGUGUAUGUGUGUAGUGUGUGUGUUUGGUGUGUUUGUGGUUACUGUAUGUGUGUGGUGUGUGUGUUUGGUUAGUUUGUGUUUACUGUAUGUGUGUGUAGUGUAUUUUUGUAGUGUAUGUUUGUUGUGUAUGUGUGCAGUGUGUGUGUGUAAUGUAUGUAUGCGGAGGGUUUGUGUGCAUUGUGCGUGUUUGUAUUGUAUGUGUGCAGUCAUGUGAUGGUAUUGUAUAUGUGGGGUGUGUGUGUUUGACGUGUCUAGUGUAGUGUAUAUGUAUGGUUUGUGUGUGCAGUGUGUUUCUGUAUUGUAUGUAUGCUGUGUGUAUGUGCGGUGUGUGUGCGGUGUGAGUGUGUGCGAUGUGUGUUUUUAGUGUGUGUGUGUGCGGUGUAGGUUUUUGUAAAGUAUGUGUGUAGAGUGUGUGUGUAGUGUAUGUUAGUGUGUAUUUGUGCUGUGUGUGUGAAGUGUGUUUUUGAAUUGUCUGUAUGCGGUUUGUGUGAGCAGUGUGUGUGUGCCUUGUGUUGGGGGUGUGUGUGUUUGUAGUAUGUGUGUGUGUGGUGUAGGUUUUUGAAGUGUAUUGUGUAGUGUGUGUGUUUGACUUGUGUAGUGUAGUGUAUGUGUAUGGUGUGUGUGCAGAGUGUUUCUGUAUUGUAUUAUGCGGUGUGUAUGUGCGGUGUGUGUGUGCGGUGUGUGUGUGCGGUGUGUGUUUUUCAUGUGUGUGUGUGCGGUGUAGGUUUUUGUAGAGUAUGUGAGUAGUGUGUUUGUUUAGUGUGUGUGUAUUGUAUGUUUGUGGUGUAUUCAUUCGGUGUGUGUGUGCAGUGCAUUUGUGAAUUGUAUGUAUGUGGUGUGUGUGAGCGGUGUGUGUGUGAAGUGUGUGUGUGCGGUGUGUUUGUGUUUGCUGGAUGUGUGUGUUGUGUAUGUGUGUGGUGUGUGUGCAGAUGUGUGCAGUGUGUAUAGUGUAGUGUAUGUGUGUGGUGUGUGUGCGGUGUAUGUGUUUGUAGUGUAUGUGUGUGUUGUUUGUGUUUGGUGAGUUUGUGUUUACUGUAUGUGUGUGUUGUUUGUGUAGUGUAUGUUUGAUGUGUAUGUUUGUGGUGUAUCUGUGCCGUGUGAGUGUGUGUUCUGUUUAUGUAUGUGUUUGAGUGUGUGAGGUAUGCUUGCUUGUAUUGUGUCUGUGCAGUCCAUGUGUUAAUAGUGUAUGUGUGUGGUGUGUGUGUAUGAAGUGUGUAGUAUAGUGUAUGUGUGUGGUGUGUGUGUGCAGUGUGCUUGUGUAUUGUAUGUAUGCGGUGUUUGUGUGCAGUGUGUGUGCGGUGUGUUUGAUUGUAGUAUGUGUGUGUACGGUAUGUGUGUGUUGUGUUUGUUUGGUGUGUUUGUGUUUACUGUAUGUGUGUGGUGUGUGUGUGGUGUAUGUGUUGGGUGUAUUGUGCAGUGUGUUUGUGGAGUGAAUGUAUGCGGUGUGUGGGUGCGGUAUGUGUGUGCAGUGUGGAUAUUUGUAGUGUGCCUGUGCGGUGUAUGUGUUUAUAGUGUAUAUGUGUGGUGUAUUUUUGGUGUUUUUGUCUUUACUGUAUGUGUGUUGUGUGUGUGUGGUGUGUUUAAUAUAGUGUAUGUUUGUGGUCUGUGUGUGUCGUGUAUGUGUGCAGUGCGUUUCUGUAGUUUAUGUAUGCUGUGUGUGUGUGCGGUAUGUGUGUGCGGUGUGUAUGUUGGUAGUGUGUUGUGCGGUGUAUAUGUGUAUAGUGUAUGUGUAUUGUGUGUGUGUGUAGUGUAUGUAUGCAUUAUGUGUGUGUGCGAUGUGCGUGUUUGUAUUGUGUGUGCAUUCCAUUUGAUGGUAGUGUAUGUGUGUGGUGUGUGCGUUUGACGUGUGUAGUGUAGUGUAUGUGUGUGGUGUGAGUGUGUGCAACGUGUUUCUGUAUUGUAUGUAUGCAGUGUGUGUGUGCGUUGUUUGUGUGCGGUGUCUGGGGAUGUAGUGCGUGUGUUUGUGGUGUAGGUUUUUGUAGUGUAUGUGUGUAGUGCGUGUGUUUGGUGUGUUUUUUGAUGUAUGUGUAUGUGUGUGCUGUGUGUGUGCAUUGUGAUUGUGAAUUGUAUGUAUGCGGUGUGUCUGUGCGGUGCAGUGUGUGUGGUGUGAGUGUGUGCAACGUGUUUCUGUAUUGUAUGUAUGCAGUGUGUGUGUGCGUUGUUUGUGUGCGGUGUCUGGGGAUGUAGUGCGUGUGUUUGUGGUGUAGGUUUUUGUAGUGUAUGUGUGUAGUGCGUGUGUUUGGUGUGUUUUUUGAUGUAUGUGUAUGUGUGUGCUGUGUGUGUGCAUUGUGAUUGUGAAUUGUAUGUAUGCGGUGUGUCUGUGCGGUGCAGUGUGUGUGGGGUGUGUGUGUUUGUAGUAUAUGUGUGUGCAGUGUACGUUUUUGUAGUGUAUGUGUGUAGUGUGUGUGUUUGGUGUGUUUGUGGUUACUGUAUUUGCGUGGUGUGUGUGUUUGUUGUGUUUGUGUUUGCUGGAUGUGUGUGGUGUAUGUGUGGUGUGUGUGUGCAGUGUGUGUGUGAGGUGUGUGUAGUGUGGUGUAUGUGUGUGGUGUGUGUGCGGUGUAUGUGUUUGUAGUGUAUGUGUGUGUUGUUUGUGUUUGGUGAGUUUGUGUUUAUCGUAUGUGUGUGGUAUUUGUCUAGUGUAUGUUUGUUGUGUAUGUUUGUGGUGUAUGUGUGUGGUGUGUGUGUAUGACGUGUGUAGUAUAGUAUAUGUGUUUGGUGUGUGUGUUUGGUGUGUUUGUGUUUGCUGGAUGUGUCUGGUGUAUGUGUGUAGUGUCUGUUUGCAGUGUGUGUGUGUGCGGUGUGUGUAGUGUUGUAUAUGUGUGUGGUGUGUGUGCCGUGUAUGUGUUUGUAGUGUAUGUGGGUGUUGUUUGUGUUUGGUGAGUUUGUGCUUACUGUAUGUGUGUGGUAUUUGUGUAGUGUAUGUUUGUUGUGUAUGUUUGUGGUGUAUUGUGUGGUGUGUGUGUAUGACGUGUGUAGUGUAGUGUAUGUGUGUGGUGUAUGUGUGCAGUGUGCUUGUGUAUUGUAUGUAUGCGGUGUUUGUGUGCAGUGUGCGUGCGGUGUGUGUGAUUGUAGUAUGUGUGUGUACGGUGUAUGUGUUUGUACUGUAUGUGUGUUUUGUGUUUGUUUGGUGUGUUUGUGUUUACUGUAUGUGUGUGGUGUGUGUGUGGUGUAUGUGUGGGGUGUAUGUGUGCAGUUCGUUUGUGUAGUUUCUGUAUGCUGUGUGUGUGUUAGGUAUGCAGUGUGGGUUUGCCGUAUGUGAGUGUGGUGUAGAUGUUUGUAGUGUGCGUGUGCGGUGUAUGUGUUUAUAGUGUAUGUGUGAGGUAUGUGUUUGGUGUGUUUGUGUGUGUGUUGUGUGUGUCUGUGUGUUGUGUGUGUGGUGUGUGUGUUUGGUGUGUGUAAUAUAGUGUAUGUGUGUGGUGUGUAUGUGUGUGGUGUAUGUGUGCAGUUCGUUUGUGUAGUUUCUGUAUGCUGUGUGUGUGUGUGUGAGGUAUGUGUGUGCAGUAUGUAUGUUUGUUGUGUGUUGUGUGGUGUAUAUGUGUAUAGUGUAUGUGUAUCAUGUGUGUGUGUGUGUAGUGUAUGUAUGCGUUAUAUGUGUGUGCGAUGUGCGUGUUUGUAUUGUGUGUGUGCAUUCCAUGUGAUGGUAGUGUAUGUGUGUGGUGUGUGUGUUUGACGUGUGUAGUGUAGUGUAUGUAUACAGUGUGUGUGUGCGUUGUUUGUGUGCGGUGUCUGUUUGUUGUGUGUGUUUGUGGUGUAGAUUUUUGUAGUGUAUGUGUGUAGUGCGUGUAUUUGGAGUGUUUUUUGAUGUAUGUUUGUGCAGUGUGAGAAGUGUAAGUUUAUAAAGCAUGCGUUGUGUGUGUGCUUUGCUUGUGUGCGGUGUGUGUGUGUAGUGCAUGUGUGAGGUGUAUGUGUGUAGUGUGUGUGUGUAGUCAAUGUAUUCGGUGUCUGUGUGGGGGGUAUCUGUUUGCGGUGUGUAUAUUUGUACUGUGUGUGUGCGAUUUCUAUGUUUAUAUUGUAAGUGUGUGGUGUGUGUGUUUGGUGUGUUUGGGUUUAUUGUAUGUGUGAGGUGUGUGUGUGUGUGUGUGUGCUGUGUUUUUGUGGUGUAUGUGUUUUUUGUUGUAUGUGUGUGGUGUGUUAUUUGGUAUGUGUGUGUGUUGUGUGUGUUUGGUGUGUGUAGUGUAAUGUAUGUGUGUGUUGUGUGUGGUGUAUGUGUUUGUAGUGUAUAUGUGUGUUGUGUGUGUUUGGUGAGUUUGUGUUUACUCUAUGUGUGUGAGUAGUGUCUUUUUGUAGUGUAUGUUUGUGGUGUAUGUGUGCGGAGUAUGUGUUUGUUGCUGUAUGUGUGCGGUGUGUUAUUUGUUAUGUGUGUGUAGCGUGUGUGUUUUGUGUGUGUUUGGUGUGUGUAGUGUAAUGUAUGUGUGUGGUGUGUGUGUGCAGUGUGUGUGUUUGUAAUGUAUGUUUGUUGUGUAUGUGUACAGUGUGUUGUGUGUGUUUGGUGAGUUUGUGUUUACUGUAUGUGUGUGUAGUGUAUUUUUGUAGUGUAUGUUUGUUGUGUAUGUGUGCAGUGUGUGUGUGUAAUGCAUGUAUGCGGAGUGUUUGUGUGCGUUGUGCGUGUUUGUAUUGUAUGUGUGCACUCAUGUGAUGGUAUUGUAUAUGUGUGGUGUGUGUGUUUGACGUGUGUAGUGUAGUGUAUGUGUAUGGUGUGUGUGUGCAGUGUGUUUCUGUAUUGUAUGUAUGUGGUGUGUAUUUGCAGUGUGUGUGUGCGGUGUGUGUGCGAUGUGUGUUAUUAGUGUGUGUGUUUGUGUGUGCGGUGUAGGUUUUUGUAGAGUAUGUGUGUAAUGUGUGUGUGUAGUGUAUGCUUGUGUUUAUUUGUGCGGUGUGUGUGUGUGAAGUGUGUUUGUGAAUUGUAUGUAUGCGGUGUGUGUGUGCCUUGUAUGUGGUGGUGUGUGUGUUUGUAGUAUGUGUGUGUGUGGUGUAGGUUUUUGAAGUGUAUGUGUGUAGUGUGUGUGUUUGACAUGUGUAGUGUAGUGUAUGUGUAUGGUGUGUGUGCAGAGUGUUUCUGUAUUGUAUUAUGCGGUGUGUAUGUGCGGUGUGUGUGUGCGGUGUAUGUGUGUGGUGUGUGUUUUUAAUGUGUGUGUGUGCGGUGUAGGUUUUUGUAGAGUAUGUGAGUAGUGUGUUUUUUUAGUGUGUGUGUGUAGUGUAUAUUUGGGGUGUUUUUUUUUCGGUGUUUGUGUGCAGUGCAUUUGUGAAUUGUAUGUAUGCGGUGUGUGUGAGCGGUGUGUGUGUGAAGUGUGUGUGUGCGGUGUGUGUUUGUAGUAUGUGUGUGCGGUGUAGGUUUUUGUAGUGUAUGUUUGUAGUGUGUGUGUUUGGUGUGUUUGUGGUUACUGUAUGUGUGUGGUGUGUGCGUUUGACGUGUGUAGUGUAGUGUAAGUGUGUGGUGUGUGUGUGCAACGUGUUUCUGCAUUGUAUGUAUGCAGUGUGUGUGUGCGUUGUUUGUGUGCGGUGUCUGUGUUUGUUGUGUGUGUUUGCGGUGUAGGUUUUUGUAGUGUAUGUGUGUAGUGCGUGUGUUUGGUGUGUUUUUUGAUGUAUGUUUGUGCAGUGUGAGAAGUGUAAGUUUAUAAAGCAUGCGUUGUGUGUGUGCUUUGCUUGUGUGCGGUGUGUGUGUGUAGUGCAUGUGUGAGGUGUAUGUGUGCAGUGUGUGUGUGUAGUCAAUGUAUGCGAUGUCUGUGUGGGGGGUAUCUGUUUGCGGUGUGUAUAUUUGUACUGUGUGUGUGCUAUUUCUAUGUUUAUACUGUGUGUGGUGUGUUUGUUUGGUGUGUUUGGGUUUAUUGUAUGUGUGAGGUGUGUGUGUGUGUGUGUGUUGUGUUUUUGCGGUGUAUGUGUUUGUUGUAUGUGUGUGGUGUGUUAUUUGGUAUGUGUGUGUAAUGUGUGUGUGUUGUGUGUGUUUGGUGUGUGUAGUGUAAUGUAUGUGUGUGGUGUGUGUGGUGUAUGUGUUUGUAGUGUAUAUGUGUGUUGUGUGUGUUUGGUGAGUUUGAUUUUACUCUAUGUGUGUGAGUAGUGUCUUUUUGUAGUGUAUGUUUGUGGUGUAUGUGUGCGGAGUAUGUGUUUGUUGUUGUAUGUGUGUGGUGUGUUAUUUGUUAUGUGUGUGUAGCGUGUGUGUUUUGUGUGUGUUUGGUGUGUGUAGUGUAAUGUAUGUGUGUGGUGUGUGUGUGCAGUGUGUGUGUUUGUAGUGUAUGUUUGUUGUGUAUGUGUACAGUGUGUUGUGUGUGUUUGGUGAGUUUGUGUUUCCUGUUUGUGUGGUGUAUUUUGUAGUGUAUGUUUGUUUUGUAUGUGUGCAGUGUGCGGAGUGUUUGUGUGCGUUUUGUGCGUGUUUGUAUUGUAUGUGUGCAGUCCAUGUGAUGGUAUUGUAUGUGUGUGGUGUAUGUGUUUGACGUGUGUAGUGUAGUGUAUGUGUAUGGUGUGUGUGUGCAGUGUGUUUCUGUAUUGUAUGUAAGCGGUGUGUAUGUGCGGUGUGUGUGUGCGGUGUGUGUUUUUAGUGUGAGUGGGUGCUGUGUAGGUUUUUGUAGAGUAUUGUGUUGUGUGUGUGUAUAGUGCAUGUUUGUGGUGUAUUUGUGCAGUGUGUGUGUUUUGUGUAUGUAUGCUGUGUGUGUGUAUUUGCGGUGUGUGUUUGUAUUGUGUGUGUGCUGACCAUGUAUUAGUAGUGUAGGUGUGUGUUGUGUGUGUUUGACAUGUGUAGUGUAGUGUAUUUGCGUGGUGUGUGUGUGCAGUUGUUUCUGAAUUGUAUGUAUGCUGUGUUUGUGAGCGGUGUGUGUUUGCAGUGUGUGUCUGCGGGGUGUGUUUGUAGCAUGUUUGUGCGCUGUAGGUUAUUGUAUUGUAUGUGUGUAGUGUAUGUGUUUGGUGUGUUUGUGUUUGCUGGAUGUGUGUAGUGUAUGUGUGUGGUGUGUGUGCGGUGUAUGUGUUUGUAGUGUAUGUGUGUGUUGUUUGCGUUUGGUGAGUUUGUGUUUACUGAAUGUGUGUGAUGUGUGUGUAGUUUAUGUUUGUUGUGUAUGUGUGCAGUGUGUGUGUGUUGUGUAUGUAUGCGGUGUGUGUGUGUGAGGUAUGCGUGUUUGUAUUGUGUCUGUGCAGUCCAUGUGUUAGUGGCGUAUGUGUGUGGUGUGUGUGUUUGACAUGUGUAGUGUAGUGUAUGUGUGUGGUGUGUGUGCAGUGUAUUUGUGAACUGUAUGUAUGUGGUGUGUGUAUGUGCGGUGCAUUGUGUGUGGGGGUGUGUGUGUGUGUGUGUGUGUGUGUGUCUGUAGUAUAUGUGUGUGCGGUGUAGGUUUUUGUAGUGUAUGUGUAUAGUGUGUGUGUUUGGUGUUUGUGUUUACUGUAUGUGUGUGGUGUGUGUGUUUGGUGUGUUUGUGUUUGCUGGAUGUGUCUGGUGUAUGUGUGUGGUGUGUGUGUCGUGUAUGUGUUUGUAGUGUAUGUGUGAGGAAUAGAGGAGGGCAUGUAAGGAGAUGCCUUGACAGACGGAGACAGUACAGGUUUGGAGAGAGGGCUGGCACAGGGGAAAAGUUAGUGAAUCCACUGGGAUGACCCCAACUAAGAAUUUAGGCAGUGGUGGAGAGUUUGCGUUUGGUGCGUUUGUGUUUACUGUAUUGUGUGAUGUGUGUGUAGUGUAUGUUUGUUGUGUAUGUUUGUUGUGUAUGUGUGCGGUGUGUGUGUGUUUUGUAUGUAUGCGGUGGGUGUGUGAGGUAUGCGUGUUUGUAUUGUGUCUGUGCAGUCCAUGUGUUAGUAGUGUAUGUUUGCGGUAUGUGUGUUUGACAUGUGUACUGUAGUUUAUGUGUGUGCUGUGUGUGUGCAUUGUGAUUGUGAAUUGUAUGUAUGCGGUGUGUCUGUGCGGUGCAGUGUGUGUGGGGUGUGUGUGUGCAGUGUGCUUGUGUAUUGUAUGUAUGCGGUGUUUGUGUGCAGUGUGUGUGCGGUGUGUGUGAUUGUAGUAUGUGUGUGCACGGUGUAUGUGUUUGUACUGUAUGUGUGUUUUGUGUUUGGUGUGUUUGUGUUUACUGUAUGUGUGUGGUGUGUGUGUGGUGUAUGUGUGGGGUGUAUGUGUGCAGUGUGUUUGUGGAGUGAAUGUAUGUGGUGUCGGUGUGCGGUAUGUGUGUGCGGUGUAGAUGUUUGUAGUGUGCGUGUGCGGUGUAUGUGUUUAUAGUGUAUGUGUGAGGUUUGUUUUUGGUGUGUUUGUGUGUGUGUUGUGUGUGUGUGUGGUGUGUGUUUGGUGUGUUUGUUUGUAUGUGUGCUGUGUGUGUGUGUGGUGUGUGUGUUUGGUGUGUGUAAUAUAGUGUCUGUGUGUGGUGUGUAUGUGUGUGGGUUAGGUUAAGAGUUAAGACUAAAUUUUGUCUACCAUCUAAAGAUUGUACCUAGGUUGCUUCUGAUACUGGAGGAAUGUUAUACUGGCUAUUCCAUUGCUAUAAAAGUACAAGACCUCAGAGAUUUAUAGCUAUGUUUUCUACAUAUGGUUUCAGCCUUCCUUUCUGUCCUUUCGGUCCAAUGCAA